CAAUCGAUAACUAGGUCGACGUCCCUUUUAGUGAGUUUAAACGGGUCAGGGGGUCACUACAAACCUCGCCAGAUUAUUUAAUAGUUCCCGAUUAACAGCUGCUGGGCAUCGAUAUUUCACUGGAACUCACGCUAUAUGGAUUACGUACCUGGAAAAGCGGCAAAAUGCUGUUUCCAGAAACUAGUUUUCUCGGUUUUCUCUGCACGCCUUAUUAGAUUUAUCCUUUACGGUGGCACAGGAUAACGGGACAAUUCUAUAAUUUUGUUGCAUUUGAUCUAUGUUAAGGCGAAUUUAGACUAAUCACUUUAGAUGAGCAUAGCAGAUGACAGAUGUCUAGUGAAAGUUGAGAUGAAAAGGGAAGCUAUUUACAUUUUCACGGACACAGUUCGAUUCGAAGAAUUGAUUAUGAGUAUCAGCGUGUAGUUAUUAAGUAUAUACUACUAGAAGAAUGUAGGAAAUUAGAAAAAAAUCAGAAACGUCGUCGAUGGUGGAUAAAGCCGUGGAUUUAAAAGCGGGAAUAACUGGGAGCAUCGACUCGGUUGUUACUCGAACUUGCAGAAGUAGAUCCAAGAAGCCAUCGGUUAUCAUAGAAAUGACACAUGAGAGCAGCAUUGCCCGCAAAACUAAAAUUGCUAAGUUACACUUUAUUACUUUUCUACUGGAAGUUGUUAGAAAAUGUAAGUGCUUUGUAUAGAAUAUCGACUUGUAGUAUAUUACUUAUGAUGCCAGAAAUUUUGCAAAGUAAUUUAUGAAGUUCUAGCAGAACU